AUGUCUGAUGUUAACUAAUCCUAGUUAAGUUAUUUCACACAUAAUUCUAGUAAAUGCCUUAUUUAUCAACUAUUAGAUUUUGGGGCAUUACAGUUAUUUAUCCUCACUUGUUUUAUUGAGUUUUCAUUUUUGGGGCGUUACAGAAUCCCACAUUUAGGUACCAUAUUACUAUAUAUUCUUUAGAAUCCCACAUUUAGGUACCAUAUUACUAUAUAUUCUUUAGAAUCCCACAUUUAGGUACCAUAUUACUAUAUAUUCUUUAGAAUCCCACAUUUAGGUACCAUAUUACUAUAUAUUCUUUAGAAUCCCACAUUUAGGUACCAUAUUACUAUAUAUUCCUUAAUCACAUUAAGUUUAUUAUUAUUUAUUGUGUCUUUUAUUUUUGGGGUGU
rnacentral:lncRNA from 1 species